CCUGCACCUAGACAUUGCGGAUGUAACUGCUGUGUCACAUGUAUGUCAAUAGGUGGCAGAGAAGAGAGAGGCUAUGUCUGCUCUCAGUGUUUGGACCUACGGACAUCUGAAGGAUUAGCAGCCUAACACU